rnacentral:tRNA from 1 species
GGGGGUAUCGCUCAGUGGUAGAGCGCAUGCUUGGUGUGCACAAGUCCUGGGUUCAGUCCCCAGUACCUCUG